rnacentral:rRNA from 1 species
GACGAACGCUGGCGGCGUGCCUAAUACAUGCAAGUUGAGCGAUGAAGAUUGGUGCUUGCACCAAUUUGAAGAGCAGCGAACGGGUGAGUAACGCGUGGGGAAUCUGCCUUUGAGCGGGGGACAACAUUUGGAAACGAAUGCUAAUACCGCAUAACAACUUUAAACAUAAGUUUUAAGUUUGAAAGAUGCAAUUGCAUCACUCAAAGAUGAUCCCGCGUUGUAUUAGCUAGUUGGUGAGGUAAAGGCUCACCAAGGCGAUGAUACAUAGCCGACCUGAGAGGGUGAUCGGCCACAUUGGGACUGAGACACGGCCCAAACUCCUACGGGAGGCAGCAGUAGGGAAUCUUCGGCAAUGGACGAAAGUCUGACCGAGCAACGCCGCGUGAGUGAAGAAGGUGUUCGGAUCGUAAAACUCUGUUGGUAGAGAAGAACGUUGGUGAGAGUGGAAAGCUCAUCAAGUGACGGUAACGACCCAGAAAGGGACGGCUAACUACGU